AAGAAUUAAAUGGAUGAAAUAUGAAAUUUUAUUAAAAAAAAAAGGGGUGAAAAGAACAAAGUUUUGUCCAUCUUUGUUCAUCAUAGCCUAAAGUUAGAGAAGAGAAAGGAGAGGAGAAAGCUCUUGAAUGUUCGGUCACUUGGGGAAGAAAAUUGAAGGUAGUUCAUGUGUGGAUCUCAUCAGCAUAUCGUCGCAAACAGGUGAGCCUUGAUGUGGGUGACUUGGAGCCGAGAGGAUUCAGAGUGGCCAUGGUGAACACUUUUGGGUUUGAAAAAGAGACUGGUUUUCUUAAGUUAUUUUUAAUUACUAUU